AAUUUGGUAGGCUUAUCACUUGCAUUGGCUUGCACUAGGUUUUGCUUAUAUUUCCUAAAUAUUAAAAAUUAGAAGGAAUGACCAUGGCUUUCAAGCGGAUGUUUCAAAGUAUCGGUUCAAAGCAGUUUCUCUAAACUAACACUAGAUAAUGUAGUCUGUGGAAAUGGUUCUUACACACUUGUGAUCUUUUAGACUUUUAAAAACUGUCUUUUUCUUAAUUAAAAGCUUUGACUUCUUAUGAUGAAUUCAAUUAAAACAGGCCUUUCAAGCUAAAUUUCAAGUUAUGAUAGUUUUGAGGAUUUUAGGGACUAGAAGACUGAGUUUCAGCAGGACAUAGGCUAAAAAAGUUCACCUGGCCCAAAGAGCAACAAGGUUCAAGCCAUUAAUUUCUAGUUUGAUGGCUGUGUUUGCACCCGAAAGGCAUGUGAAAUAUCAACAGAAGGAUGCUAUGUGAUGUAGACUUCAGUGAAUGAGUAGAAAGAAGAUAUUAGUUGUCAUAAUGUGCAGGAACUUGGGCUUGAAAGCAAAAUUUAUAGAGAAGAUACAAAGGAAUAAUUUCUACUAAAUAAGGGGAACUGGAGAUGUUCCAUAGAAUAUGAGAUAUUGACCUCACCACGUUUUAAACUCAGCCCUUCCAUGUAGGGAUGUAGUGAGGACUCAGAGUCUGACCUGCCGAUCAGGUAAGGGAGUUCAGAAGCCAUUUCUUCGGCCUUUUGGACAAUUGCCCUUAAAUUUGGUAGUGAUUUCCUGUGUGCAUACAUGUGCAUGUCCUGACAUGGCUCAAACACUGAAGUAAUAAGGAAAUAUUGACCUACACCCAGAUGUCUGCUUCACUGAGCAAGUGUUAGUCAGUGGAUUGAUGCACUAUUAGCAAGCAUCUGACUCCCUGCUAGGGGAGAACUUCCUGCAAACUAGCAGGCAUUUAUCUGCAGAAAUGUCUUUGGAGUAAAGUAAGGGAGCAUAUGUGAUUACUGGAUAUGAGAAAGACUUCAGUUAUUUGAAAGAUGUUUAAAAAAAUACAUCAGUUUUAGCAUUUUAAUAAAUUCUAGUGGGUUUCAUGCAUGCCUAGAUUAAGAUAUGUGGAUUUUUAACCCAUUAAUGUAUCCCUUUAAGUCAGAAAUGUGACAAGCUGUGCAGUAUUAACACCAAAACUAUUCAAGGGAUACAAAAGCUAAUACUGCAGUAGUAACGUUAUCUCCACUGGGCUACACUAGUCAGUGUGGACUACAUUCAGCCAAAGGCAUGACCAAAACUCUCAAAGAGUGAAUAUAAACUCCAAUUAAAGUCAGGGGACGCCAGCUCCAUCUGCUCUGAAUCAGUGUAAUUCCACCAAAAGAAAAAAAAAAAGAAGAAUAAAAAAAGAAAAAAAAGUUGGCAUAGUGUCAGUUUGUACAUGUUGACCCCACAGGCUUGGCUCAGUUUAAACGUCUGUUAAAUAUGGAUGUGGACACUUUCAGAGAAUGGCCCUGCAGCAUACUUGGCAAGUGGAUGGAUAGAUAAUACCCUGACACAGAAAUACUUCUUGGGCAUGUGCUUAAAUUCUGUUGCUAAUGCAGCUAAUAGUACAUUUACAUCCACAGGAGGUAAUCUCUGUCUGAACUCCUACAUUCACUUCUGAGCAGGAUCAUGGUUUUAUUUGACUUAGAUUUUGGUGCUGAUUUGAGGGAGAUGCAUUUCAAAAUGUGGAUGUUCUCUGUGCAUGCAUAUUCCUUGCUGUGAGAUUGAAUUUCAUGGGCCUUGUGUGACUCCUCCAGUGAAUCUGUAAAUGGUUGCUGAUGUCCCGCAACCUCACACUCUUAACUGCUAAUGAAAUUGCUCAGGGUUUAUGUGCAGACACGUUAGAAAGCAAUGGCUGGCUUCCUAUGUGUCAAAAAAAAAUGUCUUCAGAAACAGUUCAGUGGUAAAGUCACAAGUUAGAAUUGUUUAUCAUCAUCAACAGGCUGAACUAAUAGCUUUUGUCAUGAGAAAUGUUAAAAUUAAAUAGGAGUGUAGGGGAGGAAAAGCUUUUAUCUUUGGGAGUGCUUGUACGCACAGUGUGUUAAAUAGCAUAUCUUUUCACAUGGUGUGACAUCCAGGUAUGAGGAAUACCUAAAGGACUUGCUAACAUCACUGGUCUGCAGUCUGCAGGAAUUAGUACAGUUGGAAAGGAACACAGACCUUGCUAAAUCACAGCAUGAUCUGAACUUUUCCAGGUUGUUUUAAAAGCAGGGCUCUGAUGACACAGAGUCAGUAAAGAUUUCAGUGCACCUCCUGUAGAAACAGAGUGAGUUAGAUCAUCAGUUGUGGAGAAAUCUCAACUAGGUCAUCGCAUUUCUCAAGCUUUUCAAAAUUCUUCCUACUUUUUCAUGGGGAAAAUCUUGUUUCAGUUGUAUAUGGGAUUUUUCAGGCUCAUAUUUAGUCUGUCACAUUAUAUGCCAGUGUUUUCUUUUGCCAUGGACAAGGUUAUGUAGCUGUGACACAUAUAAAUUGUUUAUUAUGUGGGUAGCACAUGAGAGAAAAUGUGUACCUGAGAAGAAAUAGAUCUAUUGUAAUCCUGUGACUGCAUCAUUUAUCUUUUGCUAUUGACUCUAGGCUCUGCCUUUUCGGGGAUUUAUUUCAAUAUUUUCUGUUCAACUUUCCGGACCAGCCAGUCUUAUAAUACACAUCAUUAAAAGUUAUCUUCUAGGAGUUAUAUGUGUGUGUAUGCAUAUAUAUACAUACACGUAUAUGUAUGUAUGUAUGUAUAUGCAUACAUCCUUUGUUUAAAACCACCUGAAGUAGAGCUUUGCUGUUAGGCAUGUGCUCCACAGACUGCAAGAUGGCAGAGCACAGGGCCUGUGGCCAGACCAGCUUCACUGUUUGUCAGCAGUGUGGCAAACCA